rnacentral:rRNA from 1 species
AUUGAACGCUGGCGGCAGGCCUAACACAUGCAAGUCGAGCGGUAGAGAGAAGCUUGCUUCUCUUGAGAGCGGCGGACGGGUGAGUAAUGCCUAGGAAUCUGCCUGGUAGUGGGGGAUAACGUUCGGAAACGGACGCUAAUACCGCAUACGUCCUACGGGAGAAAGCAGGGGACCUUCGGGCCUUGCGCUAUUAGAUGAGCCUAGGUCGGAUUAGCUAGUUGGUGGGGUAAUGGCUCACCAAGGCGACGAUCCGUAACUGGUCUGAGAGGAUGAUCAGUCACACUGGAACUGAGACACGGUCCAGACUCCUACGGGAUGCAGCAGUGGGGAAUAUUGGACCAUGGGCGAAAGCCUAAUCCAGCCAUGCCGCGUGUGUGAAGAAGGUCUUCGGAUUGUAAAGCACUUUAAGUUGGGAGGAAGGACAGUAAAUUAAAACAUUGCUGUUUUGACGUUACCGACAGAAUAAGCACCGGCUAACUCUGUG